AGGAUUAUAAUUUAAUUAAAAUAUUUGAUUUGCAUUCAAAAAUUAGUAUACAUACUUUAUCUUA
rnacentral:tRNA from 1 species